GGGAAGUGUGGUUUGUUUUCGUGGACGUGGGAGGUGGAUAUAAAGGGAGCAGAGAGCAGGUCAGAGCACAUCAGCCCUGCACAUUCAAACAGAAGAACAUCUGUCUGUGUCGGGAACCAUGAAGACUCUGCUGGCUCUCACAGUCCUGACGCUCACCUGCUUCCUGAAGCACAGCUCUGCCACGUCACUAUUCUGAAGAAGAAGAAGCUCUGCCUUGAUCCUGAAUGGAAACAUGCACUGAUGCAUCUGGAAGAAUUCAAGAAAAGAUCAGCGCCCACCACUCUGAAACCUGAAACCACUAAAGAAAUGAAGAAAACCUUUUCGUCCACCACUCUGAAGCCCACAACCACCUGAGUCUGCAAUCCCAGAAAUGAUCAAAGCGGUUCUUUUCUACAUUAAUAAUCUGACAAAGUUAUUUGCUGCUCUCGUGUGUUUUAAACUGUUGCAGAACUUUGAUCAUUAAUGAUGAUUACACAGAAAUGUUUCUAGUUUAAAACCUUUAAAGUUUUUUCUCUUCAAUGUUUUUUAUGAGAUAAACCAAGUGCUGUGACUGAACGUUUCAAAUGUCUGUUCAUUAUUGCUCCACCUUUCACAAUAAAAGAUUUAUUUUUGUACUCUUUAAAGCCCACUGAGUCCUUGUUUGAGCUUGUUGGUGUUACCACAACUGCUUUAUUUAAUACAGCUGUGAGUCAUGAAGACAUACACCCAUUUUAUAAAAAUAUUAUGUUAUAAUAAUAAUGACAAACAUCACUUUCAUAAAGACCCAAAGCUGGAAUAAACAGUGUGCUGCAUUCAGUCGC
ensembl:lncRNA